rnacentral:sRNA from 1 species
GCGGAGGAAAAGAAACCAACAGGGAUUGCCCUAGUAACGGCGAGUGAAGCGGCAACAGCUCAAAUUUGAAAUCUGGCUUAGGCCCGAGUUGUAAUUUGCAGAGGAUGUUUCUGGCGCGGUGCUAUCCGAGUUCCCUGGAACGGGACGCCAUAGAGGGUGAGAGCCCCGUAUGGAUAGCCACCAAGCCUGUGUGAAACUCCUUCAACGAGUCGAGUAGUUUGGGAAUGCUGCUCAAAAUGGGAGGUAAAUCUCUUCUAAAGCUAAAUACUGGCCAGAGACCGAUAGCGCACAAGUAGAGUGAUCGAAAGAUGAAAAGCACCUUGAAAAGGGGGUUAAACAGUACGUGAAAUUGUUGAAAGGGAAGCGCUCAUGACCAGACUUGUGCCGGGCAGCUCAUCCGGGGUUCUCCCCGGUGCACUCUGCCCGGUUCAGGCCAGCAUCGGUUUUUGCUGGGGGAUAAGAACGGUAGGAACGUGGCCCUCUUUCGGGAGGGUGUUAUAGCCUACCGUACGAUACCCUAGCGGAGACCGAGGUUCGCGCUCCGCAAGGAUGCUGGCGUAAUGGUCAUCAGCGACCCGUCUUGAAACACGGACCAAGGAGUCGUCCAUUAGAGCGAGCGUUUGGGUGUCAAACCCGCACGCGUAAUGAAAGUGAAAUUAGGUGAGAGCUUCGGCGCAUCAUCGACCGAUCCUGAUGUUCUCGGAUGGAUUUGAGUAAGAGUUUUAACGGACGGACCCGAAAGACAGUGAACUAUGCUUGUAUAGGGUGAAGCCAGAGGAAACUCUGGUGGAGGCUCGCAGCGGUUCUGACGUGCAAAUCGAUCGUCAAAUAUGAGCAU